AGCCCAGAGCCUGAAUCAGUGUGUGUGUUAGUGGAAGCGUCUGGAAAGGCGCGCGAUACAGGGUGACAGCCCCGUACACAAAAAUGCACAUGCUGUGAGCUCGAUGAGUAGGGCGGGACACGUGGUAUCCUGUCUGAAUAUGGGGGGACCAUCCUCCAAGGCUAAAUACUCCUGACUGACCGAUAGUGAACCAGUACCGUGAG
rnacentral:rRNA from 1 species